CGAGGUAGCGAGGAGUCAGGGUGGCCCGCAGCAGGAAGACAGAAGGCGUGGAGACAGACUGGCGUUUUGCCUCAGAGGAAGAAGUGGAGUCCCCUCUCCCAUUCUGUGAGCAAGUGCCAGUUCCAGUGAUUCGUACUUUCAUGUCCGAGUUGGAAACCUUGGCCCGACGGUGAUGGACUGCACGACUUGCUGGACUCCCAAGUCCGAAGUUUCUGCGGCAGCGCUUGCUUUGUGGCGCCACCUGGUGGGCAGUGUGCGAGGUUGC
rnacentral:lncRNA from 1 species